rnacentral:rRNA from 1 species
GAUGAACGCUAGCGGCAGGCUUAACACAUGCAAGUCGAGGGGUAUUUAUCUUCGGAUAGAGAGACCGGCGCACGGGUGCGUAACGCGUAUGCAAUCUACCUUUUACAGAGGGAUAGCCCAGAGAAAUUUGGAUUAAUACCUCAUAGUAUAUAGACUCGGCAUCGAGAUUAUAUUAAAGUCACAACGGUAAAAGAUGAGCAUGCGUCCCAUUAGCUAGUUGGUAAGGUAACGGCUUACCAAGGCUACGAUGGGUAGGGGUCCUGAGAGGGAGAUCCCCCACACUGGUACUGGGACACGGACCAGACUCCUACGGGAGGCAGCAGUGAGGAAUAUUGGACAAUGGGCGCAAGCCUGAUCCAGCCAUGCCGCGUGCAGGAUGACGGUCCUAUGGAUUGUAAACUGCUUUUAUACGAGAAGAAACACUGCUACGUGUAGCAGCUUGACGGUAUCGUAAGAAUAAGGAUCGGCUAACUCCGUG